rnacentral:rRNA from 1 species
UACGGAGGGAGCUAGCGUUAUUCGGAAUUACUGGGCGUAAAGCGCACGUAGGCGGCUUUGUAAGUUAGAGGUGAAAGCCUGGAGCUCAACUCCAGAAUUGCCUUUAAGACUGCAUCGCUUGAAUCCAAGAGAGGUGAGUGGAAUUCCGAGUGUAGAGGUGAAAUUCGUAGAUAUUCGGAAGAACACCAGUGGCGAAGGCGGCUCACUGGCUUGGUAUUGACGCUGAGGUGCGAAAGCGUGGGGAGCAAACAGGAUUAGAUACCCCCGUAGUCC